rnacentral:snRNA from 1 species
GGAUGUGAGGGCGAUCUGGCUGCGACACCUGUCACUCCAUUGAUCACCAGGGUUGAUUUGGCUGAUCUGGCUGGCUAGGCGGGUGUCCCCUUCCUCCCUCACCUCGACCUUCCCCGAAUAGAGACAGGUCUUUGGUAUACGAGUAGCUGCGCUCCCCUGCUAGAACCUCCAAACAAACUCUCAAGGUCUAUUUAUUUAUUUUUAGAUAAAGACAAAGAGGCAGUGAGUGAGAGAAAAAUAAUGAAGAGACCACAGCACAGAAACUUCCUUCAGUGUGGUGGGUGCCAGGCU